rnacentral:rRNA from 1 species
CUUCCGUAGGGUGACCUGCGGAAGGAUCAUUAGUGAAUAUAGGACGUCCAACUUAACUUGGAGUCCGAACUCUCACUUUCUAACCCUGUGCACUUGUUUGGGAUAGUAACUCUCGCAAGAGAGCGAACUCCUAUUCACUUAUAAACACAAAGUCUAUGAAUGUAUUAAAUUUUAUAACAAAAUAAAACUUUCAACAACGGAUCUCUUGGCUCUCGCAUCGAUGAAGAACGCAGCGAAAUGCGAUAAGUAAUGUGAAUUGCAGAAUUCAGUGAAUCAUCGAAUCUUUGAACGCACCUUGCGCUCCAUGGUAUUCCGUGGAGCAUGCCUGUUUGAGUGUCAUGAAUACUUCAACCCUCCUCUUUCUUAAUGAUUGAAGAGGUGUUUGGUUUCUGAGCGCUGCUGGCCUUUACGGUCUAGCUCGUUCGUAAUGCAUUAGCAUCCGCAAUCGAACUUCGGAUUGACUUGGCGUAAUAGACUAUUCGCUGAGGAAUUCUAGUCUUCGGAUUAGAGCCGGGUUGGGUUAAAGGAAGCUUCUAAUCAGAAUGUCUACAUUUUAAGAUUAGAUCUCAAAUCAGGUAGGACUACCCGCUGAACUUAAGCAUAUCAAUAAGCGGA